rnacentral:rRNA from 1 species
AUUCCGGUUGAUCCUGCCGGAGACAUUGCUAUUGGGAUUCGAUUUAGCCAUGCUAGUCGAUCGAGUUCAGACUCGCGGCGAAUAGCUCAGUAACACGUGGCCAAGCUCCCCUUCAGUCAGCGAUACCCUCGGGAAACUGAGGUUAACAGCUGAUACAAAACGCCAGCUGGAAUGCGGCGUUUCAGAAAGACAUCGCUGAAGGAUGCGGCUGCGGCCGAUUAGGUAGACGGUGGGGUAACGGCCCACCGUGCCAGUAAUCGGUACGGGUGAUGAGAGUCAGAGCCCGGAGACGGAAUCUGAGACAAGAUUCCGGGCCCUACGGGGCGCAGCAGGCGCGAAACCUUUACACUGCACGGAAGUGCGAUAGGGGAAUCCCAAGUGCGAGGGCAUAUUAGCCCUCGCUUUUCUCGACUGUAAGGUGGUCGACGAAUAAGAUCUGGCCAAGACCGGUGCCAGCCGCCGCGGUAAUACCGGCAGCUCAAGUGAUGCUCCAUACUAUAUUAGGCCUAAAAUUUCGGUUUCU